rnacentral:rRNA from 1 species
UCAGUUCAGCACUAAGUCACUUUGUCUUUAUGGCAAAUGUGAGAUGCAGUGUAUGGAAUGUCAAAUUUCUAGUAUGAGAAAUUAACGAUUUAAGUCCUUCUUAAAUGAGGCCAUUUACCCAUAGAGGGUGCCAGGCCCGUAUAACGUUAAUGAUUACUAGAUGGCAUUUCCAAAGAGUCGUGUUGCUUGAUAGUGCAGCACUAAGUGGGUGGUAAACUCCAUCUAAAACUAAAUAUAACCAUGAGACCGAUAGUAAACAAGUACCGUGAGGGAAAGUUGAAAAGAACUCUGAAUAGAGAGUUAAAUAGUACGUGAAACUGCUUAGAGGUUAAGCCCGAUGAACCUGAAUAUCCAUUAUAGAAAAUUCAUCAUUAUGAUUUUAAUAUUAAUAAUAUUAUAAUAAUGGUGUGCAUUUUUUCUAUAACGGACAUUGUAAUCUAUUAACAUAAAACAUAAUUUAUCAUAAGAUCAAUGAUGCGUAAGUUUAUUCAAAUUAUUUUGCUUGCAAUUUAACAUAGAAUAAAUGCUCUUGAUUUGAUAAAGUGUUGAUAGAUUUAUUAUAUAUAGUGCUUAAAUAUAUUUUAUAUAUUUUAUAAUAGCAUAUUAAUCAUUGAUUUUUAUGUUUAUUUAUAUGCACUUAUAUGAUUAACAAUGCGAAAGAUUCAGGAUACCUUCGGGACCCGUCUUGAAACACGGACCAAGGAGUCUAACAUAUUUGCAAGUUAUUGGGUAUUAAAAAACCUAAUAGCGAAAUUAACAUAACUUUAAUGGGAUUAGUUUUUAGAUUAUUUUUAAUAGUCUAUUAAUUCAAUCCCGGGGCGUUCUAUAUAGUUAUGUAUAAUAAUAUUUAUAUUAUUUAUACCUCUAACUGGAGCGUACCUUGAGCAUAUAUGCUGUGACCCGAAAGAUGGUGAACUAUACUUGAUCAGGUUGAAGUCAGGGGAAACCCUGAUGGAAGACCGAAACAGUUCUGACGUGCAAAUCGAUUGUCAGAAUUGAGUAUAGGGGCGAAAGACCAAUCGAACCAUCUAGUAGCU